rnacentral:lncRNA from 1 species
UUGGGAGGGGAUAGUGUGAGAUCAAAGAGGACUUUUUACACUCAUGCAAACACCCACCUGAAGAGGCUGGAGACUUUAACAAGUCCUUCAGUGUUUCUGGGCCAUAGUUUCCUAAUCUUCAGAACUUCCUCUAACUGCUACACAAGAUUUGUUUCUUUUUGAAAGUGCCAGUGACCUACUUUAUAUGAACAGCAAUAGGAUAAAUCAAAAAGUUGUAUACACUAAAAAACAUAAAACAUUUAUUUGCAUUGGAUGAGAAUAAUAACAGACAUGUGCUUGUGUUAAAAUGUUACAGGCAAAGUAAAUCACUGUGCCAAGCAGUGCAUGAAUACAACAUCCUUCUACUUAAUUCAAAGUUGAAACUCUCUGACCUCAAGAUUGUUAUUUCAUCAAGUGCAUGCAUGCCCACGCACACACACACACAGUGUUGCUUUUCAGACUGAAGCCACAGCUUAACAGAAAACGUGCUUACAUAAGGACAACAGCACUGGGAAACGGCCUCUGUGUGGCUCCUCAAUCCUCUCUCCAAGCCUGAUGCUAUUUUUAGGUUUCAGGGGAAAAUGAAUCGUUCAGAAAGAAGGAUGACUCCUCCAUGCCACCCAAGUACCACAUUUCCUACGGUCAAACCAUUUUUAAGGCACCAGCUGAGCAGUUUAUUUCUAUUACUUGGCAGAUAGGAAGCAAGAACUGAAUAUUUUUACUGGGAUUCUUUUUGAAAAGUCAGGUUGUUGGAGGUGACGCGUCCUCCACCCACCAGCAGCACACUGGGCUUCUCACAUGUGCAGGGCUGAAGGCACUCAGGCUCGCAGAGGAGGGGGAGAAUGAAGGAUGCACUAACAUAAGAGGCUGGUCAUGGGCCGCUUGCUUUUCUACAGAAAGCUGUUCAGAAGCAACCAGCAAAUGUGCAAGGAGGUAAAAUGGUCUGCAAGCCACAGAUGGCCUGAAAAGUAUUUAUAUCAUUGAUCAUUUUAUAUGUCAAAGAUGGGACCAGGAGGCACUAAACUAAGGAGGCAACCCAGUGUCUUCCUGGGGAUUUCUUAGACUU